rnacentral:rRNA from 1 species
CCUACGGGCGGCAGCAGUGGGGAAUAUUGGACAAUGGGGGGAACCCUGAUCCAGCCAUGCCGCGUGUGUGAAGAAGGCCCUCGGGUUGUAAAGCACUUUCAGUGAGGAAGAACGCCUGGUGGUUAAUACCCAUCAGGAAAGACAUCACUCACAGAAGAAGCACCGGCUAACUCCGUGCCAGCAGCCGCGGUAAUACGGAGGGUGCGAGCGUUAAUCGGAAUUACUGGGCGUAAAGCGCGCGUAGGUGGCUUGAUAAGCCGGUUGUGAAAGCCCCGGGCUCAACCUGGGAACGGCAUCCGGAACUGUCAAGCUAGAGUGCAGGAGAGGAAGGCAGAAUUCCCGGUGUAGCGGUGAAAUGCGUAGAGAUCGGGAGGAAUACCAGUGGCGAAGGCGGCCUUCUGGACUGACACUGACACUGAGGUGCGAAAGCGUGGGUAGCAAACAGGAUUAGAUACCCCUGUAGUC